AGGACCCGAAAGAUGGUGAACUAUGCCUGAAUAGGGUGAAGUCAGAGGAAACUCUGAUGGAAGCUCGUAGCGGUUCUGACGUGCAAAUCGAUCGUCAAAUUUGGGUAUAGGGGCGAAAGACUAAUCGAACCAUCUAGUAGCUGGUUCCCUCCGAAGUUUCCCUCAGGAUAGCUAGAGUUGAACAGUUUUAUCAGGUAAAGCGAAUGAUUAGAGGUAACUGGGAUGAAUUGUCCUGGACCUAUUCUCAAACUUUAAAUGGGUAAGAAGCGCGGCUUGCUUCAUUGAAGCCGUGCCUCGAAUGGUAGUUGCUAGUGGGCCAUAGCCGGUAAGCGGCUCUGGCGAUGCGGGAUAAACCGAAAGCAACGUUAAAGCGCCAAACUAACCGCUCAUCAGAUCCCACAAAAGGUGUUGGUUCAUAUAGACAGCAGGACGGUGGCCAUGGAAGUUGGAAUCCGCUAAGGAGUGUGUAACAACUCACCUGCCGAAUGAACUAGCCCUGAAAAUGGAUGGCGCUCAAGCGUGUUACCGAUACUUGACCGAGUAG
rnacentral:rRNA from 1 species